UACAGAGGGGGCAAGCGUUAUUCGGAAUUAUUGGGCGUAAAGGGCGCGUAGGCGGCCUGACAAGUGGAUGGUGAAAUCCCUCGGCUUAACCGAGGAACUGCCAUCCAGACUGUUUGGCUUGAGACCGGGAGAGGUGAGUGGAAUUUCCAGUGUAGCGGUGAAAUGCGUAGAUAUUGGGAGGAACACCAGUGGCGAAGGCGGCUCACUGGACCGGUACUGACGCUGAUGCGCGAAAGCGUGGGGAGCAAACGGG
rnacentral:rRNA from 1 species